rnacentral:misc_RNA from 1 species
GAUGAAGAACGUAGCGAAAUGCGAUAAGUAGUGUGAAUUGCAGAAUUCAGUGAAUCAUCGAAUCUUUGAACGCACAUUGCGCCCGCCAGUAUUCUGGCGGGCAUGCCUGUUCGAGCGUCAUUUCAACCAUCAAGCCAUGCUUGCGUUGGGGUCCUGCGGCUGCCCGCAGGCCCUGAAAACCAGUGGCGGGCUCGCUAGUCACACCGAGCGCAGUAAUACAUCUCGCUUUGGGCGUGCGGCGGGUUCUUGCCGUUAAACACCCCCUUUUUACCAAGGUUGACCUCGGAUCAGGUAGGAAUACCCGCUGAACUUAAGCAUAUCAAUAAGCGGAGGA